rnacentral:sRNA from 1 species
GCCGGGAACAGUGGCGUGCGCCUGUAGUCCUAGCUACUCGGGAGGCUGAGGCAGGAGGAUCGCUUGAGUCCAGGAGUUCUGGGCUGCAGUGUGCUAUGCCGAUCGGGUGUCCGCACUAAGUUCGGCAUCAAUAUGGUGACCUCCCGGGAGCGGGGGACCACCAGGUUGCCUAAGGAGGGGUGAACCGGCCCAGGUCAGGAAGAUGAAGUUAGGGAAAUGGGUAGUAGCCCACACAGUGAAAGAACUUUUAGACCCUGGAAAGGAUUUCAUCCUGAUGUUUAAAAACAGCUUAUUUUA